CGCGUGUACUGGUCCGGCCGGGCCUUUCCUUCUGGAGAGCCCCAUGCCCUUCACUGGGCGUGCGGGGGAACCAGGACUUUUACUUUGAAAAAAUUAGAGUGUUCAAAGCAGGCCUUUGCUCGAAUACGUUAGCAUGGAAUAAUAGAAUAGGACGUGCGGUCCUAUUUUGUUGGUUUCUAGGACCGCCGUAAUGAUUAAUAGGGAUAGUCGGGGGCAUCAGUAUUCAAUUGUCAGAGGUGAAAUUCUUGGAUUUAUUGAAGACUAACUACUGCGAAAGCAUUUGCCAAGGAUGUUUUCAUUAAUCAGUGAACGAAAGUUAGGGGAUCGAAGACGAUCAGAUACCGUCGUAGUCUUAACCGUAAACUAUGCCGACUAGGGAUCGGGCGAUGUUUCUAUCUUGACUCGCUCGGCACCUUACGAGAAAUCAAAGUUUUUGGGUUCUGGGGGGAGUAUGGUCGCAAGGCUGAAACUUAAAGAAAUUGACGGAAGGGCACCACCAGGCGUGGAGCCUGCGGCUUAAUUUGACUCCACACGGGGAAACUCACCAGGUCCAGAUGAAAUAAGGAUUGACAGAUUGAGAGCUCUUUCUUGAUUUUUCAGGUGGCGGUGCAUGGCCGUUCUUAGUUGGUGGAGUGAUUUGUCUGCUUAAUUGCGAUAACGAACGAGACCUUAACCUGCUAAAUAGCCAGGCUAGCUUUGGCUGGUCGCCGGCUUCUUAGAGGGACUAUCGG
rnacentral:rRNA from 1 species